AAUAUGAAUACUGUUCGGAAAAUGGGGAAACCCACAACCAUUGACUAACCUAUAUAACAGCUGGCUGGUAUAUAGAAGUUGACCAGUGAAAAGAAAAAGAGAGAGAAGAUGGCAAGGAACAAGGACAUCACAUUUGAUGAUGCUAUGAGAGUUGUGGAUGAGCUUGCAAGAGAAAUAAAACAUCAUAGACAUGGCCUGAACAGAGUCCAGGUAACUCAAGGCUGGCUCCCUUGGUCAGUACACAGCCAUUCCGGGCAACUUCGAUGUGGACCUAGUGGUCUACUCAGAGAGUGUGGAUCCAGACACUGUCCUGAGUGAAGGAUAUCGUACGCCUCUACACAAACUGCGAAGCUUUUUGGGAGGUCUACGGAGUGUCAAGCUUCAAACACCACUAAAAAUGUCUGUGUCACUGAAAUACAAGACAUAAUGACCAGCAAGAUCGAGAGCUAUCGAUAGACGUUGACGUCUUGGUCAGCCCUAAAUGGGAGAAUCCAGCAGAUCUCUAUGACUACCUGAGGAAAGCCAAACAAGACGGAGCAAAACCUGCCCAACUAUUCCGGUUCUCAGUGAAUGCUUCAAAAUGGCAGGUUGCAUUUAUUGAAAAGCAGGAUGAUAAAGCUAAAGAACUUAUUCGCCGUGCUAAGGCGUGGAGGAACAAAGAAUGGCCUGAGGGGAAGCUAUGUACUGGAAGGCCAAAGAGUUAUCUCAUCUCAAUUCUGGUGCUUAUAGAGCUUAUAUGAGCUGGCAUUGAAACAGCACUAUGGUGGAACUAUUGAGCAACGGUAGGGGAACUCCCUUGUGUACAAAUCAGUAUAGCUUCCCGUUUCUACAGAACAACAACCACUUUGAAGCAGAUAGUGAAAUCUCACCUAACAGCUGAUAUCUAUUGGGUUGACUACUACAAACCAGGGGACUACAUAGACUUGUUUCCAGCCAGGCUCCCCCGAAUCGUUGACCCUGCCAACCCGGCCAACAACCUCCACAACACAGGGAUAAUCGGAGGCAGCACCUACACUUCACAUUCAUACUAUAUACGAGCAGGGAGACGGCAAUUGGACGCAGCUGGUUGGGAAAAUUGAGUCAAUCGAUUUGACCAAAACAAUUGAACAGAUACAGGCCUAAAAUACGCUUGCUUUUUUAAAUCACCAUGCACAGACUUAGUGAUAACAAAGCACCUUUUUGUAUUGUGUAUGUACGGUAUAUGUUGACAUUAGCCGUACAGUCAGUUAGUGC